GAUGAACGCUGGCGGCGUGCUUAACACAUGCAAGUCGAACGGAAAGGCCUCUACUUGCAGGGGUACUCGAGUGGCGAACGGGUGAGUAACACGUGGGUGAUCUGCCCUGCACUUCGGGAUAAGCCUGGGAAACUGGGUCUAAUACCGGAUAGGACAAUGGUUUGGAUGCUGUUGUGGAAAGUUUUUCGGUGUGGGAUGAGCUCGCGGCCUAUCAGCUUGUUGGUGGGGUAAUGGCCUACCAAGGCGUCGACGGGUAGCCGGCCUGAGAGGGUGUACGGCCACAUUGGGACUGAGAUACGGCCCAGACUCCUACGGGAGGCAGCAGUGGGGAAUAUUGCACAAUGGGCGCAAGCCUGAUGCAGCGACGCCGCGUGGGGGAUGACGGCCUUCGGGUUGUAAACUCCUUUCGCUAGGGACGAAGCGUUUUUGUGACGGUACCUGGAGAAGAAGCACCGGCUAACUACGUG
rnacentral:rRNA from 1 species